AUUGAACGCUGGCGGCAGGCCUAACACAUGCAAGUCGAACGAGUGGCGGACGGGUGAGUAAUGUCUGGGAAACUGCCUGAUGGAGGGGGAUAACUACUGGAAACGGUAGCUAAUACCGCAUACCAUCAGAUGUGCCCAGAUGGGAUUAGCUGGUUGGUGGGGUAACGGCUCACCAAGGCGACGAGCCCUAGCUGGUCUGAGAGGAUGACCCGCCACACGGGAACGGAGACGCUGUCCAAACUCCUACGGGAGGCACCAGUGGAGCAUAUUGCACAAGGGGCGCAAGCCUGAUGCAGCCAUGCCGCGUGUAUGAAGAAGGCCUUCGGGUUGUAAAGUACUUUCAGCGGGGAGGCGUUACCCGCAGAAUAAGCACCGGCUAACUCCGUGCCAGCAGCCGCGGUAAUUC
rnacentral:rRNA from 1 species